GCUAAGUAGAAGAAAAUAUCUUGCAAUAGCUUAAACCUGAAAGAAGGCAGAGAUCUGGGUCAGCUUUGUCCUCUAUCAUUCUGCUUGGGUGGUUCAUUCUACAUAUUAUCAACAUCAACAUUUGAACAAAAGCAGCAGCCAGCUGAAGCUAAUCUAACCAUGAUUAAGCAGGAAAUGGAUUGUAUUUCUGUAUCAUAUUUACUAGAGGAACAGCCAGCUGAAGAGUGAUAUUUGCUGUUGUGCAGCCUGAAACUGGGAAGUCAUGCAGAAAAUCAAGGUUAGAAGUUUUACCUCAUGUUCAAAAAAUGCGUCUUCCAGCGUCUUUUCUCCAGUGCCACUCCCUACACCUUCAAAUACAGCCUUGUAUUCCUAAAAGCACAGACAACCACUCCAUGGAAAUAAGUGCAAUCAGAUCACUGUAAAAAAUACUUCCUGCAAUCUGGGGAAUCCACUGUGAAAGAAAGAUGAUAAAGAUUUUGAAGAGAAUGUGCCAGGAAGUACCAUUGAUGGAUUGGAGUAUGUAUAAACUUCAAAGAGACUAUUGUAAGAGCAGUGACCUGGGUGCUAAGAUUUGUAAAAUACUUUGAAAAUGUGAGGCUCAUAUUAAAUGCAUAUCCUUGCAGCACUGUGCUGUAACAAUGCUAAAAAUUAUUUUUAAAGGAAGAAAAUUAUACAAAAUUCCUAAGUAAAAAUUGUGUUAGCUAGACUCAAAACCAUUAGACCCUUUCAAAUUGCAUCUUCCUUAUAUAAAUAAAGAUAAAUGUUAGCCAAAAGCCUGCCUAGGCUCACUUAGGAUCUAAGAGUUCUCAUGGUGGCUGAGUUAUUCAUAAACAAAUCUGGAUCUGGAUAUUAGCCUGACAUCUAGAUCAUUUUCAUUAAUGAGAUAUUAAAUUAGAAUUUAGAUGCAGACCUAAAAUUUGAAAGGUCCCCAAACAGUGGAGUAGAAAUGGAAGCAGCUGGGUUUCAUUCCUGGGCUUGAAAUCUACCAGAUGACCUCAGACAGCUUGCUUUAUCUCACCAGACUUCUGUUUCCCCAUCUAUAAAACAGGGUUAAUUAUACUGACCUGCUUUGCUGAGGCAUUUGAUAAACCCCAAAUAUUAUCAUUUUGUU